GAUGAACGCUAGCGGCAGGCCUAAUGCAUGCAAGCUGAACGGUAAAUAUUGUAGCAAUACAAUAUGAGAGUAGCGUAAGGGUGCGUAACACGUAUGCAAUCUGCCCUGUACAGGAGGAUAGCUCGGGGGAACCCGGAUUAAUACUCCGUAAUAUUAUUGGGAGGCAUCUCUUGAUAAUUAAAGUCGCAAGACGGUAUGGGAUGAGCAUGCGUCUGAUUAGCUAGUUGGUGGUGUAACGGACCACCAAGGCGAUGAUCAGUAGGGGAACUGAGAGGUUGAUCCCCCACACUGGCACUGAGAUACGGGCCAGACUCCUACGGGAGGCAGCAGUAGGGAAUAUUGGUCAAUGGAUGCAAGUCUGAACCAGCCAUGCCGCGUGCAGGAAGAAGGCCUUCUGGGUUGUAAACUGCUUUUGCCGGGGGAUAAAAAGUCCAUGCGUGGACAAUUGAAGGUACCCGGUGAAUAAGCCACGGCUAACUACGUG
rnacentral:rRNA from 1 species